ensembl:misc_RNA 7SK 7SK RNA
GGAUGUGAGGGAGAUCUGGCUGCAACAACUGUCACCCCAUUGAUGGGCAGGGUUGAUUGGCCUGAUCUGGCUGGCUGGCAGGGUGGCCCCUUCCUCCUUCACCACUCCAUGUGCAUCCCUCCAGCAGCAGUACACUCACACCUGGCAGAAGAGGACGGUCUUCCCCAGUAGAGACUGGUUAGUCUUUGAUCGAGGGUGUACAAGUAGCUGUGCUCCCCUGCUAGAACCACCAAACAAGUUCUCAACAUUAUAAGAUUUCAGGGUUAUAAUUUCAUGUGUGU